rnacentral:rRNA from 1 species
CCUACGGGAGGCAGCAGUGGGGAAUAUUGCACAAUGGGGGGAACCCUGAUGCAGCGAUGCCGCGUGGAGGAAGAAGGUUCUCGGAUUGUAAACUCCUUUUAUCAGGGACGAUAAUGACGGUACCUGAAGAAAAAGCUCCGGCUAACUACGUGCCAGCAGCCGCGGUAAUACGUAGGGAGCGAGCGUUGUCCGGAUUUACUGGGUGUAAAGGGAGCGUAGGCGGGAGGGCAAGUCAGAUGUGAAAUCUGAGGGCUUAACCCUCAGACUGCAUUGGAAACUGCGGGUCUGGAGUGAAGUAGAGGUAAGCGGAAUUCCUAGUGUAGCGGUGAAAUGCGUAGAUAUUAGGAGGAACAUCGGUGGCGAAGGCGGCUUACUGGGCUUUUACUGACGCUGAGGCUCGAAAGCGUGGGGAGCAAACAGGAUUAGAUACCCGUGUAGUC